UACGGAGGGCGCAAGCGUUAUCCGGAUUCACUGGGUUUAAAGGGUGCGUAGGAGGGCAGGUAAGUCAGUGGUGAAAUCUCCAAGCUUAACUUGGAAACUGCCGUUGAUACUAUCUGUCUUGAAUACCGUGGAGGUGAGCGGAAUAUGUCAUGUAGCGGUGAAAUGCUUAGAUAUGACAUAGAACACCAAUUGCGAAGGCAGCUCGCUACACGAAUAUUGACUCUGAGGCACGAAAGCGUGGGGAUCAAACAGG
rnacentral:rRNA from 1 species